CUGGAGGUAUCAGAAGUGCGAAUGCUGACAUAAGUAACGAUAAAGCGGGUGAAAAGCCCGCUCGCCGGAAGACCAAGGGUUCCUGUCCAACGUUAAUCGGGGCAGGGUGAGUCGACCCCUAAGGCGAGGCCGAAAGGCGUAGUCGAUGGGAAACAGGUUAAUAUUCCUGUACUUGGUGUUACUGCGAAGGGGGGACGGAGAAGGCUAUGUUGGCCGGGCGACGGUUGUCCCGGUUUAAGCGUGUAGGCUGGUUUUCCAGGCAAAUCCGGAAAAUCAAGGCUGAGGCGUGAUGACGAGGCACUACGGUGCUGAAGCAACAAAUGCCCUGCUUCCAGGAAAAGCCUCUAAGCAUCAGGUAACAUCAAAUCGUACCCCAAACCGACACAGGUGGUCAGGUAGAGAAUACCAAGGCGCUUGAGAGAACUCG
rnacentral:rRNA from 1 species